GCUACGGUGAAUUAGUGGUUAGAGCAUCUGCCUCGGAUGCGAGAGGUCUUUGGUUCGAUCCCCAGUCGAAUAAUA